rnacentral:lncRNA from 1 species
AUGGAGCAGCCUCGCCUGCCAAGGACCGCGUGCUGCCUCCUAAUGAGCGUGGAUGGCUACACGGGGCCGGAGCGCAUGCGUGGGAGGCGCCGCACUUUUACGCCCCACACUUUACGUCGGCUGCACUUUACGCCCCACACUUUACACCCCACACUUUACGUCAGCCACACUUUACGCCCCACACUUUACGUCGGCCGCACUUUACGCCCCACACUUUACGUAGGCCACACUUUUAUGCCGGCCAUACUUUACACCCCACACUUUACGCCCCACACUUUACAUCGGCCACUUUACACCCCGCACUUCACGUCGGCCACACUUUACGCCCCGCACUUCACGUCGGCCGCACUUUACGUCGGAUGCUCUCACAGCCCAGAUGCAGGCGGAGGAUGGUGUCAACGCCUUCCCGAGCGUCACUGUCUCGCGGCCCAAACGCCUCUUUCGUGGUCCCCGAGACCUCUCAGCUUGGUUACACUGGGAACCCAGGCCUCCCUGCCUCCAUCACGCGUGGCUCAGCCUCUCUCGUUCUGCACCCCUGUCUUCGGCCACACCCUCUAUCCAACCCGGCUCUCCCGGAUGGACUGUGACCUGGAUAUCAUGGCCACAGUGUGUGGAGGAACUCAGAGCACGCUCCCUACGGCCAGGCCCUACACACACCUCCAGGCAAAAUGGGUGUUGCGCUGGGUUGAAGAGUGUUCCCACUGAAAACAUAUCCAGAGGUCAGCAUUGUGGCACAGCAGGUAAAGCCAAUCCAUAUGAUGCCGGCAAUCCUAUAUGGGCACCGGUUUUUGAGUCCUGGCUGCUCCUCUUCCAAUCUGGCUCCCUGCUAAUGCACCUGGGAAAGCAGUGGAAGAGGGCCCAAGUACUUGGGCCCCUGCACCUACAUGGGAGACCUGGGAGAAGCUCCUGGCUUCCACCUGGCCCAGACCUAGAUUUUACAGGUGUUUGGGGAGUGAACGAGCCAGUGGAAGAUCUCUCUGUCUCUGUCUCUCUUCUCUUUCUCUCUGUAACUCUGCCUCUCAAAUUAAAGCAAAAACAUGUCCAGGUCCUAACUUCCAGUCCGAUUGGAACCCCCAGUUCCAAUAAGAUGGGACACUUAUUGGAAACAGAGAAUUUGCAGAGGCAAUGAGCUACGGAUCCUGGCGUGAGAUCAUCCUGGGUUCUGGGCAGGCCCUCAGUCUAACCACUGUUGCCCUUGGAAGUGAAGGGGGAGGCAUGAGGGGAUGGCGAGGGGAGCAAUCCAAGGAGCCCUAAGGCCCCCCGAACUGCAAGAGGAGCCGAGAACCACAGAACAAAGACAGAAGGGAACCUAAAGCGAUCGGCCAACAGAACUUAACCCGAAGGCUAGCGGACACUCAGACUGGCUGACCCAGGGACAAUCGACCAGAGAGCUAACGACGUGAUCGGAGCUGUGUGCAGCAGGAGAACAGCAUCCAGUGGACUUUUGCGCGGUGAGAUCCCACGGGAAGCCCCUAACGCCGCGUGUGAGUCAGACGCUCACAACGCAAACCAGAGGCUCCCUCGCUGCCAGCACGGGCGAGGACCCCACCCCACCCCGACCACCCACGGUCAGCACAGAACUUCCAGUUCAAGGCCAAGGCCCCUGCCUAGUGGAUGUUCUUUCAUUUUUUUUUUUCCUUCCCAGCUGAACCCACCUGAGAGACAGACUCACCACUUCCUGCCCGGCCGCCGCAUGUUCCUUAGCAGAGUGUGGCCCCAGUGAGCCGUGUGCAAGCUGCCGAGGACUGCUGGGGCCAGGUGCAGGGGAGUGGCGUCGGGCAAGCUCGCCCUGCAGCCCAGAAGUCAGGGAGGCUGAGCCGGCAAGGGGCACUGGCGCGUGGUGCAUCAAAAACGUUCUAUCACUGUGAAGAACGGGCGCUGGGCUCCCUGUACUGGAGGAAGUGGUUGUGGGCAGCCCUGGAGCUGGGUGCAACAGCAAGGGUUCUAGGAGAGGCAAACGGCGAGGGGCCCUGGGCCGAGGACAGGAGGCAGCUGCUCCACGGGCGUGCGCACAGAGCCAGCACGAAGAGCUCUGCUGACCCUGGGGACUGCUGGGAGCAGCCACUGGUCACCCAGCCAAGGCUGGACCUCUGGGCACGAUUCUGCGUUGUGUGGACUGAGCCCCUCACAAGGACUGUCAUCAGCUCUCUGGUGGAUUCAAGACAGGGGCUGGCUCUUGGUGUCCCACGGCCUCUGGCUGGCCUGGGUCUGCGAGGCGGGAGCAUGAUUCCACCGGACGCUAAGAGUUCUGCACUCACCCCCAAGCGUCACCAGCUCCGGCCUCAGCUUCCAUGAAGCCUUAGUCUCUGACCAUGACUGUAUUGAUCAUGAAAACAGGUGGGCAUUCAGCCUAGGGGGUAAGACGCCAAUUAGAAUGCCUGCAUCCCAUACAGAAGUUCCUAGGUUCGAUUCCUGGCUCCAGUUCCUAUCCCCCAAAUAGAGAAAUAAAAAAUUUCAAAACCUUCUACA